GACGAACGCUGGCGGCGUGCUUAACACAUGCAAGUCGAACGGAAAGGCCCUGCUUUUGUGGGGUGCUCGAGUGGCGAACGGGUGAGUAACACGUGAGUAACCUGCCCUUGACUUUGGGAUAACUUCAGGAAACUGGGGCUAAUACCGGAUAGGAGCUCCUGCUGCAUGGUGGGGGUUGGAAAGUUUCGGCGGUUGGGGAUGGACUCGCGGCUUAUCAGCUUGUUGGUGGGGUAGUGGCUUACCAAGGCUUUGACGGGUAGCCGGUCUGAGAGGGUGACCGGCCACAUUGGGGCUGAGAUACGGCCCAGACUCCUACGGGAGGCAGCAGUGGGGAAUAUUGCACAAUGGGCGGAAGCCUGAUGCAGCAACGCCGCGUGCGGGAUGACGGCCUUCGGGUUGUAAACCGCUUUCGCCUGUGACGAAGCGUGAGUGACGGUAAUGGGUAAAGAAGCACCGGCUAACUACGUG
rnacentral:rRNA from 1 species